rnacentral:rRNA from 1 species
GUAAGGAAUAUUGGACAAUGGACGCAAGUCUGAUCCAGCCAUGCCGCGUGAAGGAUUAAGGUCCUCUGGAUUGUAAACUUCUUUUAUAAGGGACGUAAAAAGGCUUUUCUAAGUCGUCUGACGGUACCUUAUGAAUAAGCACCGGCUAACUCCGUGCCAGCAGCCGCGGUAAUACGGAGGGUGCAAGCGUUAUCCGGAUUCACUGGGUUUAAAGGGUGCGUAGGCGGGCAGGUAAGUCAGUGGUGAAAUCCUAGAGCUUAACUCUAGAACUGCCAUUGAUACUAUCUGUCUUGAAUAUUGUGGAGGUAAGCGGAAUAUGUCAUGUAGCGGUGAAAUGCUUAGAUAUGACAUAGAACACCUAUUGCGAAGGCAGCUUACUACGCAUAUAUUGACGCUGAGGCACGAAAGCGUGGGGAUCAAACAGGAUUAGAUACCCGAGUAGUCC